rnacentral:rRNA from 1 species
GACUACUGGGGUAUCUAAUCCUGUUUGCUCCCCUAGCUUUCGAACAUCAGCGUCAGGACCAGUCCAGAAAGCCGCCUUCGCCUCUGGUGUUCCUCCCGAUAUCUACGCAUUCCACCGCUACACCGGGAAUUCCACUUUCCUCUCCUGUCCUCUAGUCAAGCAGUAUCAAAGGCUAUUCCUCAGUUAGGCUGAGGGAUUUCACCUCUGACUUACAAGACCGCCUUAAUUCGCUUUACGCCCAGUAAAUCCGAGUAACGCUUGCCCCCUACGUAUUACCGCGGCUGCUGGCACGUAGUUAGCCGGGGCUUCCUUUGGAAGUUAAGUCAAACACGGGUGGUGUUGGCACCCAUGCAUUUAAUCCUUCCUGACAGAGGUUUACAAUCACGAAGACCUUCAUCCCUCACGCGGCGUCGCUGCGUCAGGCUUUCGCCCAUUGCGCAAAAUUCCCCACUGCAGCCGCCCGUAGG